UACGUAGGGGGCUAGCGUUGUCCGGAAUCAUUGGGCGUAAAGCGCACGUAGGCGGAUCUGUAUGUCGGAUGUGAAAACCCCAGGCUUAACCUGGGAAUUGCAUCCGAAACUGCAGACUUUGAAUGCUUGAGAGGAUGACGGAAUUCCUGGUGUAGAAGUGAAAUUCGUAGAUAUCAGGAGGAACACCGGAGGCGAAGGCGGUUGUCUGGCGAUGCAUUGACGCUGAGGUGCGAAAGCGUGGGGAGCAAACAGG
rnacentral:rRNA from 1 species